rnacentral:misc_RNA from 1 species
UCACGCACAUAUAUGCUGUCUCCAGUCCGUCAUGGCUGGUGAGUGAAAGGACCAUGGUGGGUACGUAGCAGGUGGGAUUUUAUGCUUGUGUUUGCCUGUGCGUGCCAAAGUGGACGAACCGUGUUGUACGUGGUACACAACGGUCUCCUUUCCUGUUUUCCUCACUGGGGUACCUACCUUAUCGGAUGCUUUGAUGGUAUGCUCGUGGCAUGUGGCGGCUUGCUCGUUGUUGUUUAUAUGUGAGCUUUUAUGGGCUGCAUGUGCACUUGUUCAAGCCAGAAGCGAUAAGGCAGUGCUGGGGUUAUGUUGGGCUUGUGUGCCGCCACAGUGCGAGGUUUCAUGAAAAGUGUGUGUGUCUGUCUGUUUACGUGGGGGCUAUUGCCUUAACCGCUCACGACGAUAGCCACUUCCGCCCCAGAUUGUUUAUAUAUGCUGUUGCACACUCUGUUACACUGUUGAAGUAGCCUAGUCAGGCGUGUCCCUUGCUGGAAGCUUGGCUAGGCCUACUGCCCUCGCAUGCACCUGGUCGGCUUUGACCGGCUAGACUGCAUGUACGUCGCUCAGCGGUUUCUCCCUGAGUAGGACUGACCAAGCUUUUGUGUGAUGGCUUUUGCUGUUGCCAGGAGCAAAAUAACUGUACAACUUUGAGCGGUGGAUCACUCGGCUCGUGUGUCGAUGAAGAGCGCAGCCAACUGUGUGAAUUAAUGUGAAUUGCAGACUGCUUUGAACAUCGACAUCUUGAACGCACAUUGCGGCCAUGGGCUCGCCUAUGGCCACGUCUGACCGAGGGUCGGCUUGCAAACUAUCACGACGCCCAACGAGUCGUGGAUUGGAAGGACUUGCCAGCCAGCGUGAUUUCUCUACUAGUGCGCGUUUGUGCGCAUGGGUGGAGUGCUGCAGCGGUGGCGCCUUCUCAAGGUAUCUCCAACAGCUAGUUUGUUCCUCCUUCUACGCAACGAAACAGUGCUGGCGUUUAUGUGUACGCGAGUGCAUAUGCUUUUACGGUAUCGCGCUGAGCGGGCUGGUGCAACAGCUGCACACGGGUUGUGGCCUUGUGUCACUUUUUAUCUGAUGGUCCUGUGCAGUGGUUUACAUUGUUGUAUUCAGUGCUGUUGUGUACGUGUACGCGAGUGCAUAUGCUUUUACGAUAUUGCGCUGGGUAGGCUGGUGCAACAGCUGCACACGGGUUGUGGCUUAAUGUUGCUUUUAUUUGAUACUAACCCUAUGCAGUGGUUUAUACUGUUGUAUUCAGCUGCACAGAAACAGCACAGAACGUUCUCGUUUGUCAUGAGUGGAGAUGAAGUAGAGGAGAAAACAUCUACUACUGUUGUGAGUUGCUUGGUUAGGUUGAAGCUGUACACUACUACUGCUUGAUAGAGGCAAGGAAAAGGGCUAUGGUGCCCUAGUGUGGUGCGUGUGUCUGCUUCUUCCGCCUCCUUUGCCUGACCUCGGAUUAGGCGUGAUUACCCGCUGAACUUAAGCAUA